rnacentral:tRNA from 1 species
CGGUAUAGCUCAGCUGGUAGAGCGGCGCAUUCGUAAUGCGUAGGUCGUAGGUUCAAGUCCUAUUGCCG